GUCUGCCCGUGUAGAAAACAUGGUCGGAAAGGGGGAAACUUUUACUUUACUUAAAUGUUUCCCAAACAUGUUUAAUUAAAAAAAAAAAAACAGCAUAUCUAGUAAACUUAUAUUUCAAUCCUAUCUAUUUUCAGUUGGAUGUUCCUGAUGAUGGAGUGCUUGUACAUGGACUCUAUAUGGAUGGUUUUGCCUGGGACUGGGAUCACAUGACUGUUGGUGACCAAUUGAAAGGCCAGAUGCAGGCAAAGACAUUCUACUAACUUUGUUGUAACUGUCCACCUUCCUUCAAGCAACACACAAGAUUACUGGAUAGCCAAAGGUGCAGCACUCUUAUGUCAAAUUUCUGAUUAAUUUUGCUUACAGAUAAGUUGUAAAGCAUUUAACAAUAAAAACAAUGUCCAUUACAAA
rnacentral:sRNA from 1 species